CAACCAAUAAGACAAACAUAUACACAAAAGGACCUCCCCCAUCACAGGAUAGUCAUGAACUCACAGAGAUUCACCUGCCUCUACCUCCCCAAGAACUGGGAUCAAAGGAGUGGGCCACAAUACCAACAGGGUUUCUCUGUGACUUUGGAGGCUGUCCUGGAACUAGCUCUUGUAGACAUCUGGAGGGAGAUUCUGGAGUUCUGGAGAGAGUGAUGCCAUGACACAUGUAAAGGCUCAAGGCUCAUCACAGAAGAGGAAGCAGAAAGAUGGUAAGAACUGGAGGCUGUGGACAACUACAGCAAAGCAACGUUUUCAGGACACAACAGGGCAGUUCCACAUAAGAACUCAGCGGCUAUGACAGCAACUACAAGAAGAGCUGCACAAAUUCAAAGCCAGAGCAAACCCCAGCAUGGAGAGGGGAGAAGUGCAGCCAGGCUCAUGGGAGUGCCAGAGUCACCAAGAGACUUCCACAGGUCCGGGGGAUCAAACUCAGGUCAUCGGACUUGGCAACAGCAUCUUUACCUGCUGAGAUAUCUCGCUGAUGUGUCUUUUCCCCCUUUAAUCCAAGUAUGCAAGGAUAUUUCUUACUUAAGAUGACUAUGACCCAAAUGUUAAUCUUCAAUUGAUUUUCCUGAAAAUCCUGCAGACAGCAUUCAAAGUGAAAUUAUAAAGAAG
rnacentral:lncRNA from 1 species